ensembl:lncRNA
GACUUUGUGGUUAAUGAAGCCUGUGUGUGUGGGUUCUGCUCCAGGGCUCACAGAGUUCUGUCUGUCAGAGCCUGCCUUUUCCUCUGGCUCCUGUGUCCUUGUCAGGCCGAAUGAGCUCUUCCCCUGGGAAGCCCUCUUGAUCACAGCUGGACCUUCUGGACCCAGAGCACCAUCCUGACUGAAGCAUUUUCUCCCACUGCCAUCUUUCUCCUCCCUGUGUUCACCACUGGGAGAAAGAAAGGCCGGGAACAGGCAAUGACUAGAGCUACUUGUGAAUGGAAGUCAGUCAUUCUGCCACCCUUGGAGUACUGCUGAAGUUUUUCAAAUUGUGGUGCUACAGAGGAUUCUUGAGAGUCCCUUGGAUAGCAAGGGGAUCAAACCAGUUCAUCCUAAAGGAAGUCAACCCUGAAUAUUCAUUGGAAGGACUGAUGCUGAAACUGAAGCUCCAAUACUUUGGUUACCUGGUGCGAAGAGCCAACUCAUUGGAAAAGACCCUGAGGCUGGCAAAGAUUGAAGGCAGGAGGAGAAGGG